GACGAACGCUGGCGGCGUGCCUAAUACAUGCAAGUAGGACGCAGUUGCGAACGGGUGAGUAACGCGUAGGUAACUACCUAUUAGAGGGGGAUAACUAUUGGAAACGAUAGCUAAUACCGCAUACUAGUAGAUGGACUUGCGUUGUAUUAGCUAGUAGGUAGGGUAAUGGACUACCUAGGCAACGAUACAUAGCCGGACUGAGAGGGUGAUCGGCCACAUUGGAACUGAGACACGGCCCAGACUCAUACGGGAGGAAGAAGUAGGGAAUCAUAGGCAAUGGGGGAAACCAUGACGGAGCAACGCAGCGUGAGUGAAGAAGGUUUUCGGAUCGUAAAGCGCUGUUGUUAAGGAAGCGGUACUUAACAAGAAAGGGACGGCUAACUACGUGCCAGCCGCCGCGGUAAUUC
rnacentral:rRNA from 1 species